GGGCGUCGGAAAGCGGCCUUCUGGGACUCCGCAAACUCCCGUUCUCCCUCCCCCCUCCCCCUUGCCAUUCCCUUUGCCUUCCGGGCGCCAAGUCUCUCUGGCCUCCAAGGUGAACCCAACUCCCCAGCGCGCCCCGGGUUCCCGGGUCGGGCCGGCUUCAGGCGGUGGGGAGCGGGAUCCCGGGCCCCGGGCGGGCGGGAGGGACGGGACGCGGUGCAGUGUUGUUUUUUCCCCCGCCAAUAUUGCACUCGUCCCGGCCUCCGGCCCCCCCGGCCCCCCGGCCUCCCCGCUACCCCUAGCGGGGCAGCCCCCGCCCUCCUGGCUCUCCAUCCCGGCGGAUCUUUGAUAGACUGGAGUGUCGCCGCUGCCACCGUGAACGGGAAAAUGGGUCAUGGAGGAGUGACUUCACCAACAUCACUCAUAGGUGCUUGUGUCCGUGGUGAGAAGGGUGAUGGAGAGAAGUGGCUGCAGUUCCCACCCAUGGAGAGGUCACUGGUGAAUCCCAGCUAAAGAGGAAGGACAGGCCCGGCCUGAGUCCCACAGGCUUACCAUCUGAGUCCUUCUGAUUGGGAUUGGGUACCAGGCGGCAGUUAUCGGGACCAGGAGGCACAUAAUCUGGGAUGCCAUCAUUGUCAUCAUCCCCAUCACACUCAUCUCCAAGUCCAUCGUUAUCAGAGUCCAGCUGGGAGCUAUUUGGCAGCUGUGGGCAGUUGUCCUUGGUGUCCUGAUGCCCAUCCCCAUCGCUAAUCAGAAGAACAGGUUGGUGAAAGUCCCGAACUUUGUCUCCCCACCCAGAGGACAACUGGCCAGGAAAUCUGCCUGUUUCUUGUCUCACCCUCUAGUCCACACUCUGCCUAACACUACGCCCUACCUCACAUUCCUAUUGACAUCUGCUGCAGAUCACACCCUUGUGAUGGACAAACUGCUCAGUACAGUCCCACCCACCCAGCCUCCUUGUCCUGGGCACGAGGUUUUUGCCUCCCUGAUUUGGAGUAUUUGGCCCUUACUAGAGAGCUGCCAGAUGAGGGACAUUUCCUUCACCUGGAGAAGGAUGGGGAGGAGUCAGCACUUGACAUCUGCCACCCUACCCCAGAAUCAGUGCCACCCUUCGCCAGCCCACCCAAACCUGGUCUCGUAUAUCAUCCCGCAGCUCCACCAGGAUCUGGUUGAAGAGGAACUCAGAGGCUCCUCCCGGCUCACCUGCAUCCUCAAAUACGCCUUCUGUCCAGUCCUAAUCUCCAGCCCAUCGACCUCCGCUGGAGGAAUGGGGGCCAGUGCUGGAAGGCCUGCAUGUUGGUCACCCAGUUUGCAGUCCACGUAGAGAUGUAGGGCAGGGCUGGGUCUGGAGGGACCUCGGAGUCGCAGGAGAACUGUGUGUGUGCGCCCAUCAGCCAGGCCCGCUUGCUGUAGGUUCACGGCGUGGACUUUGCCAUCCUCCCGCUGGUAUCGCACCAGUACUGCCCAGGAGGGGAGAUCAGUAUGGGCGCUAUCCCCCACCCCCUGCCUCCCAGCUGAGCCUUGGAUCAACUCUGCUAGAUACCACAUCUCUAGGGCCCCUAUCCCUAAUUCUACUAUGUGGCUCUCAACACCUUGUAUUUAAUAGGUACACAAUAAAUGUUUUUGAAAUUGC
rnacentral:lncRNA from 1 species